rnacentral:tRNA from 1 species
ACUUAUAUAAUAUAAAAAGUAUAAUUAACUUCCAAUUAAUAAGUCUAAAAUUUUAGUAUAAGUA